rnacentral:rRNA from 1 species
GUAGGGAAUAUUGGUCAAUGGGUGAGAGCCUGAACCAGCCAUGCCGCGUGCAGGAAGAAGGCCUUCUGGGUUGUAAACUGCUUUUGCCGGGGGAUAAAAUUCCCAUGCGUGGGACAUUGAAGGUACCCGGUGAAUAAGCCACGGCUAACUACGUGCCAGCAGCCGCGGUAAUACGUAGGUGGCAAGCGUUGUCCGGAUUUAUUGGGUUUAAAGGGUGCGUAGGCGGCCUAUUAAGUCAGUGCUGAAAUAUCCCGGCUUAACCGGGAGGGUGGCAUUGAUACUGAUGGGCUUGAGUAGAGUCGAGGUAGGCGGAAUUGACGGUGUAGCGGUGAAAUGCUUAGAUAUCGUCAAGAACACCGAUAGUGUAGACAGUUUACUAGACUCAAACUGACGCUGAGGCACGAAAGUGUGGGGAUCAAACAGGAUUAGAUACCCUAGUAGUCC